rnacentral:rRNA from 1 species
GACGAACGCUGGCGGCGUGCCUAACACAUGCAAGUCGAACGGAAAGGCCCUGCUUUUGUGGGGUGCUCGAGUGGCGAACGGGUGAGUAACACGUGAGUAACCUGUCCUUGACUUUGGGAUAACUUCAGGAAACUGGGGCUAAUACCGGAUAGGAGCUCCUGCUGCAUGGUGGGGGUUGGAAAGUUUCGGCGGUUGGGGAUGGACUCGCGGCUUAUCAGCUUGUUGGUGGGGUAGUGGCUUACCAAGGCUUUGACGGGUAGCCGGCCUGAGAGGGUGACCGGCCACAUUGGGACUGAGAUACGGCCCAGACUCCUACGGGAGGCAACAGUGGGGAAUAUUGCACAAUGGGCGGAAGCCUGGUGCAGCGACGCCGCGUGCGGGAUGACGGCCUUCUGGUUGUAAACCGCUUUCGCCUGUGACGAAGCGUGAGUGACGGUAAUGGGUAAAGAAGCACCGGCUAACUACGUG